rnacentral:rRNA from 1 species
AUUGAACGCUGGCGGCAGGCCUAACACAUGCAAGUCGAACGGUAACAGGAAGCAGCUUGCUGUUUCGCUGACGAGUGGCGGACGGGUGAGUAAUGUCUGGGAAACUGCCUGAUGGAGGGGGAUAACUACUGGAAACGGUAGCUAAUACCGCAUAACGUCGCAAGACCAAAGAGGGGGACCCUCGGGCCUCUUGCCAUCGGAUGUGCCCAGAUGGGAUUAGCUUGUUGGUGGGGUAACGGCUCACCAAGGCGACGAUCCCUAGCUGGUCUGAGAGGAUGACCAGCCACACUGGAACUGAGACACGGUCCAGACUCCUACGGGAGGCAGCAGUGGGGAAUAUUGCACAAUGGGCGCAAGCCUGAUGCAGCCAUGCCGCGUGUAUGAAGAAGGCCUUCGGGUUGUAAAGUACUUUCAGCGGGGAGGAAGGGAGUAAAGUUAAUACCUUUGCUCAUUGACGUUACCCGCAGAAGAAGCACCGGCUAACUCCGUGCCAGCAGCCGCGGUAAUACGGAGGGUGCAAACGUUAAUCGGAAUUACUGGGCGUAAGCGCCCGCAGGCGGUUUGUUAAGUCAGAUGUGAAAUCCCCGGGCUCAACCUGGGAACUGCAUCUGAUACUGGCAAGCUUGAGUCUCGUAGAGGUUUGUAGAAUUCCAGGUGUAGCGGUGAAAUGCGUAGAGAUCUGGAGGAAUACCGGUGGCGAAGGCGGCCCCCUGGACGAAGACUGACGCUCAGGUGCGAAAGCGUGGGGAGCAAACAGGAUUAGAUACCCUGGUAGUCCACGCCGUAAACGAUGUCGACUUGGAGGUUGUGCCCUUGAGGCGUGGCUUCCGGAGCUAACGCGUUAAGUCGACCGCCUGGGGAGUACGGCCGCAAGGUUAAAACUCAAAUGAAUUGACGGGGGCCCGCACAAGCGGUGGAGCAUGUGGUUUAAUUCGAUGCAACGCGAAGAACCUUACCUGGUCUUGACAUCCACGGAAGUUUUCAGAGAUGAGAAUGUGCCUUCGGGAACCGUGAGACAGGUGCUGCAUGGCUGUCGUCAGCUCGUGUUGUGAAAUGUUGGGUUAAGUCCCGCAACGAGCGCAACCCUUAUCCUUUGUUGCCAGCGGUCCGGCCGGGAACUCAAAGGAGACUGCCAGUGAUAAACUGGAGGAAGGUGGGGAUGACGUCAAGUCAUCAUGGCCCUUACGACCAGGGCUACACACGUGCUACAAUGGCGCAUACAAAGAGAAGCGACCUCGCGAGAGCAAGCGGACCUCAUAAAGUGCGUCGUAGUCCGGAUUGGAGUCUGCAACUCGACUCCAUGAAGUCGGAAUCGCUAGUAAUCGUGGAUCAGAAUGCCACGGUGAAUACGUUCCCGGGCCU